GACGAACGCUGGCGGCGUGCUUAACACAUGCAAGUCGAACGAAGUGGCGAACGGGUGAGUAACGUGUAAUCAACCUGCCCUUCAGAGGGGGACAACAGUUGGAAACGACUGCUAAUACCGCAUACUGAAGGAGGGGAUUGCGUCUGAUUAGCUAGUUGGAGGGGUAACGGCCCACCAAGGCGAUGAUCAGUAGCCUGUCUGAGAGGCAUAACGGCCACAUGGGGACUGAGAAAAGGCCCAGAAUCCUACGGGAGGCCGCAGUGGGGAAUCUUCCGCAAUGGGCGAAAGUCUGACGGCGCAACGCCGCGGGAGUGAUGACGGCCUUCGGGUUGUAAAGGUCUGUUAAUCGGGACGCGGUACCGGAAUAGAAAGCCACGGCUAACUACGUGCCAGCAGCCGCGGUAAUAC
rnacentral:rRNA from 1 species